UACGAACUGUGCGAACGUUAUUCGGAAUCACUGGGCUUACAGGGUGCGUAGGCGGCUCAACAAGUCAGGUGUGAAAGCCCCCGGCUCAACCGGGGAACUGCGCUUGAAACUGUUAGGCUCGAGUCAGCUAGAGGUACACGGAACUUCCAGUGGAGCGGUGAAAUGUGUUGAUAUUGGAAGGAACACCGGAGGCGAAAGCGGUGUACUGGGGCUGGUCUGACGCUGAGGCACGAAAGCCAGGGGAGCGAACGGGG
rnacentral:rRNA from 1 species